AUGACCUGAUGACCCGAGUUUCCAAUAACAUGCCAUAAAUAAUGAGCUGCGCCGGCGACAGCCAGAUCUUCCACAUAUCAUGGACAGGAUGAAGCGUACUCAAGGGCUGAAUGGCCAAGCAAACAGAUGCAUUAUGAAAUGAGGCUGAGGUUGGAGACAUGGAGAUAAACAUCCACAAUGCCCUGACAACAUUGGCACCAAAUAUCAUCAGGGCGGCUCUGCUGGGGAGCCACAAGGGACAAUUCACCACCUUGAUGACUGAGGCCAAAGCAGACGAUCAUCUGAAGAGUGCUGCGGAAGACUGGUGCGAUCGUACCAGAGCAGAAGUUUUGCUACUUGGAUGAGGAGCCAUCCAGCCCAUCUCCAGUAAUGGUGUCACACAACACUGUGAGUCCCCUGCUGUUUACUACCCACCGCAUCCAUCGCGACUGGGGAGAACAUCCUUCAUGCCCUAUAAAGCCUCGCCACACGUCAUUUUUUUUUAUGAUUAUUUUUUUAAUUCAAUAUGUGAUAUGUUUGAACUUUGAACUAUCUUCCGAAACGUUUGU